UACGGGGGGGGGCAAGCGUUGUUCGGAAUUACUGGGCGUAAAGGGUUCGUAGGUGGCCAACUAAGUCAUACGUGAAAUCCCUCAGCUUAACUGGGGAACUGCGUCUGAUACUGGUUGGCUUGAGUGCAGGAGAGGAACGCGGAAUUCCAGGUGUAGCGGUGAAAUGCGUAGAUAUCUGGAGGAACACCGGUGGCGAAGGCGGCGUUCUGGACUGCAACUGACACUGAGGAGCGAAAGCGUGGGGAGCGAACAGG
rnacentral:rRNA from 1 species